UUACAGUGGUAGGGGAGCAUUCUCAUGGCGGUGAAGGUGUGUGGCGAUGCAUGCUGGAGCGAUGAGAAAAGCAAAUGUAGGAAUAAGUAGCGAUAAUGUAUGUGAGAAACAUACACACCGAAAGACUAAGGAUUCCUCCGCUAUGCUAAUCAACGGAGGGUUAGUCGGAUCCUAAGGAUAAUGCGAGAGCAGAGGCCGAUGGGAACAAUGUUAAUAUUCAUUGACCUGUAUUAAUUGCGAAGCGGGGACGGAUUUUGAAGCUUCAUACGUACUGACGGAAUAGUGCGUUGAGCGGCGGCUUAGGCCAAAGCGAAUGGGGGGACAAGGUUCCAAGAAAAGCCGAUAAGCUCUAGAUUAAUACAGACCGUACCGUAAACCGACACAGGUA
rnacentral:rRNA from 1 species